rnacentral:rRNA from 1 species
UACAGAGGGUGCGAGCGUUAAUCGGAAUUACUGGGCGUAAAGCGUGCGUAGACGGUUAUUUAAGUCGGGUGUGAAAGCCCCGGGCUCAACCUGGGAAUUGCAUUCGAGACUGAAUAGCUAGUGUACGGUAGAGGGAAGUGGAAUUCCAGGUGUAGCGGUGAAAUGCGUAGAUAUCUGGAGGAACACCGGUGGCGAAGGCGGCAUCCUGGACCGGUAUUGACGCUGAGGCGCGGAAGCUAGGGGAGCAAACGGG